rnacentral:rRNA from 1 species
CUACGUGCCAGCAGCCGCGGUAAUACGUAGGUCCCGAGCGUUGUCCGGAUUUAUUGGGCGUAAAGCGAGCGCAGGCGGUUAGAUAAGUCUGAAGUUAAAGGCUGUGGCUUAACCAUAGUACGCUUUGGAAACUGUUUAACUUGAGUGCAAGAGGGGAGAGUGGAAUUCCAUGUGUAGCGGUGAAAUGCGUAGAUAUAUGGAGGAACACCGGUGGCGAAAGCGGCUCUCUGGCUUGUAACUGACGCUGAGGCUCGAAAGCGUGGGGAGCAAACAGGAUUAGAUACCCUGGUAGUCCACGCCGUAAACGAUGAGUGCUAGGUGUUAGACCCUUUCCGGGGUUUAGUGCCGCAGCUAACGCAUUAAGCACUCCGCCUGGGGAGUACGACCGCAAGGUUGAAACUCAAAGGAAUUGACGGGGGCCCGCACAAGCGGUGGAGCAUGUGGUUUAAUUCGACGCAACGCGAGGAACCUUACCAGAUCUUGACAUCCC